rnacentral:rRNA from 1 species
AUUGAACGCUGGCGGCAGGCUUAACACAUGCAAGUCGAGCGGAAACGAUGAUAGCUUGCUAUCAGGCGUCGAGCGGCGGACGGGUGAGUAAUACUUAGGAAUCUACCUAGUAGUGGGGGAUAGCACGGGGAAACUCGUAUUAAUACCGCAUACGACCUACGAGAGAAAGGGGGCAGUUUACUGCUCUCGCUAUUAGAUGAGCCUAAGUCGGAUUAGCUAGAUGGUGGGGUAAAGGCCUACCAUGGCGACGAUCUGUAGCUGGUCUGAGAGGAUGAUCAGCCACACCGGGACUGAGACACGGCCCGGACUCCUACGGGAGGCAGCAGUGGGGAAUAUUGGACAAUGGGGGAAACCCUGAUCCAGCCAUGCCGCGUGUGUGAAGAAGGCCUUUUGGUUGUAAAGCACUUUAAGCAGUGAAGAAGACUCCGUGGUUAAUACCCACGGACGAUGACAUUAGCUGCAGAAUAAGCACCGGCUAACUCUGUGCCAGCAGCCGCGGUAAUACAGAGGGUGCAAGCGUUAAUCGGAAAUACUGGGCGUAAAGGGAGCGUAGGUGGCUCUAUAAGUCAGAUGUGAAAUCCCCGGGCUUAACCUGGGAACUGCAUCUGAAACUGUAGAGCUAGAGUAUGUGAGAGGAAGGUAGAAUUCCAGGUGUAGCGGUGAAAUGCGUAGAGAUCUGGAGGAAUACCGAUGGCGAAGGCAGCCUUCUGGCAUAAUACUGACACUGAGGCUCGAAAGCGUGGGUAGCAAACAGGAUUAGAUACCCUGGUAGUCCACGCCGUAAACGAUGUCUACUAGUCGUUGGGUCCCUUGAGGACUUAGUGACGCAGCUAACGCAAUAAGUAGACCGCCUGGGGAGUACGGCCGCAAGGUUAAAACUCAAAUGAAUUGACGGGGGCCCGCACAAGCGGUGGAGCAUGUGGUUUAAUUCGAUGCAACGCGAAGAACCUUACCUGGUCUUGACAUAUCUAGAAUCCUGCAGAGAUGCGGGAGUGCCUUCGGGAAUUAGAAUACAGGUGCUGCAUGGCUGUCGUCAGCUCGUGUCGUGAGAUGUUGGGUUAAGUCCCGCAACGAGCGCAACCCUUGUCCUUAGUUACCAGCGGGUUAAGCCGGGAACUCUAAGGAUACUGCCAGUGACAAACUGGAGGAAGGCGGGGACGACGUCAAGUCAUCAUGGCCCUUACGACCAGGGCUACACACGUGCUACAAUGGUAGGUACAGAGGGCAGCUACACAGCGAUGUGAUGCGAAUCUCAAAAAGCCUAUCGUAGUCCAGAUUGGAGUCUGCAACUCGACUCCAUGAAGUAGGAAUCGCUAGUAAUCGCGGAUCAGAAUGCCGCGGUGAAUACGUUCCCGGGCCU